ensembl:rRNA 5S_rRNA 5S ribosomal RNA
GUCUAUAGCCAUCCAUCCUGAACAUGCCUGAUCUCAGAAGCUAAGCAGGGUUGAGCCUGGUUAGUACUUGGAUGGAAGACCAUGGGCUUCCCUAGUGAUUCAGACA